GUUAUAAAUAGAAGGAUGGGCAGCAGAAAAAUACAUACAUAGCUAGUGUAUAUUUCAGUUCGUGGAGAUGAGAUAUUUUAUUCUCAAAUAUGAUGCAAAGGUCUAUGAAUUGGAGCAGAAACACGAAAACGAUCUAGAGGUUAUACUUAUGUCGGUUUCCUCCGGGUGAUAGCUAAUCAGACAUUUCUUCAAAGUGAAGUAAGGUGGAAGAAGAGUACUUCUUUGCAUAUAAGGUAAGAAAUCCUCUCUCCUAGAUGUAUUUGAGUUAUCCGAGUCGUAUCUAUGUUGCUAGAUGGAAGAAUUACGAAAACUAUAUCGAAAAUCGGAUAAAUUGUUGUUGUUAUCAUGUGGGCUGUUUGGUGGUGAUUUAAGAAUGGAUUUGAUUCUAUUUGGAUAUGUAUUUGUUGAUAUUGUUAUUGGUAUUGUGAUUGAUAUUUUGGCUAAAUUGGAAUCAUGAGGAUUAUUAAGUUUUUAA